UUCCGCUUCCGCUCACCUUUCCCGGAAGUGGGGCCGGAGGGACGCGGGUCGGUGUCUUCCAGGAUGCAGAGAGCGCCGGUGCUGCUCUUCCUCGCCUGGACCUGCUUCCUCUUCUUCUCAGCCAUUGGGCUCUUCACCAGCGGCUUCCUCCUCAUGCGUGUGGAGCUGGCGAACCACAGCUCCUGCUCAGAUGCAGUGACCGCUUCCCUGCGGGGGACCAGGGUGCCGCUUGGUUCCUGCUGGCUGCCGUCGCGCUUCUCCAAGGCUGUGCUCAUCAUCAUUGAUGCCCUGAAGUUUGAGUUUGCCCAGUAUGAUCCUUCCCGGCAGGAGCCACGGCCUUAUGAGAACAAGCUGAAGUUUCUUCACCAGCUGGCCAGCCAGCAGCCCCAGAAUGCCCGCCUGUACCGCUUUCGGGCUGACCCACCCACCACAACCAUGCAGCGCAUCAAGGGCCUCACCACUGGUUCUCUGCCCACUUUUAUAGAUGCGGGCAGCAACUUUGCUUCUUAUGCCAUCCAGGAGGAUAACUUAAUCUGGCAGCUGGCACAGAAUGGGAAAAGGGUGGUCUUCAUGGGAGAUGACACUUGGGAUGGUCUCUUCCCCCAAGCCUUUUUCCGUUCGUACUUUUUCCCUUCAUUCAAUGUGAAAGACCUGCACACUGUCGACGAUGGGAUCUUGCAGCAUUUAUACCAGACAGUGGAUGGCAGCGAGUGGGACCUGCUGAUUGCCCACUUCUUGGGUGUGGAUCAUUGUGGUCAUAAGCAUGGGCCAGAUCACCCUGAAAUGGCCAAGAAGCUCUCUCAGAUGGAUGAAAUGCUCAGGUUGCUGGUUGACCACCUGGCAAAUGACACGCUGCUCCUGGUGGCAGGGGAUCAUGGCAUGACGGGGACUGGGGACCAUGGUGGAGACACCGAAGAGGAGGUCAACGCCGCUCUCUUUGUGUACAGCAAAGCAACCUUGUUUUGGAGCCCCCCACCUCAGGAGCCACAGACAGUCUCGCAGGUGAACUUCGUUCCCACCCUGGCCCUCCUCUUGGGCAUCCCAGUACCUUACAGCAACAUCGGGGAAGUGAUGGAUGACCUCUUUGCCAUCGAGGGUGAUGCCACUUCCUCGGUCCUUGCCCAGCUAGAAGCCUAUAGUAUCAAUGCGAGGCAGGUUGACCGCUUCCUGCGCUCCUAUGCGCUGGCUGCCCAGGAUAUCUCAUCUCAGAAGCUGCAACAACUCCAAGACCUGUUUGCUGCCACCUCAGAGGAACAUGAGCGAGUCUUGGCUCAGGUUGGGUCUCCAGGGCUGCCUCAGCUGGAGCAGCUCCGGAGCCAGUUCAGGCGCUACCUCCAGGAAGCCCGAGCUAUCUGUGCUGAGUCCUGGGCCCGCUUCCACCCAGUGCGCAUGGUGGCUGGCUGUGCCCUCUUGACUUCCUCCUGCCUGCUCUGCUAUGUGGCCUCCCGGAUGGCUGCCGGUCUGAACUUCUCCUACCGCCACCUCCUUUGGUACCCCUUGCUGUGGGGGGCAGUAGGGGCAGCCAUACUGGGACUGACUCAUCUCUCUGGCUGGACCACAACAGACCUGGUGCUAUUGUCCUCCUGGGUGGCAGCAGCCUCCCAGCUGGGCUUCUUCUGGCAUUGCUGGGCCAGGCGGGCCAGAAGUUCAAAUACGGCCAGCGCCCGUCUCCCAUUUGGGGGUUCCAGCCUGAAGUCGAGACUGCGAGCGGGGCUGGUUCCUGCUUUCCCCUUGGGCAUCCUGGCACUCCGCUGUGGUGCCAUGCUCUCCGACAGCUUUGUAAUGGCCGAGGCGCAGGUGGCGCCCUUCCUGCUUGUUUCCCUGGUGCUGGUGCUAGUGCUGAGGCUCCACUGGAGGGGCCGGCUGCUGGAGGGCUCCCUGUCAUCCUGGCAGCUGCUGGGGCUGCUGGCUCUCAUCCUGGCCUGUGUGCGCCUUUCGGGGUUUUUUCAGCAGUGCCGCGAGGAGACCCCCUCCUGCCGCUCCUCCUCGCUGCUGGCUCCACUAGCCAGCCUAAAGGACCCUCAAACCAAGAACCUCUCCUACAUCCUCUGCCUGGUCUCGUUGGGCACCCUGGCUGGUGGUGUACGCUGCUGGCUGCGCCACUACGGCAACCUCAACCACCCCAAUGGCCCUGUGCUUUUUGUGCGCUGGGGCUUCCCCCUGCUGGCCCUCUGCAUUGGCGGCUACUGGGCCAUCACCUCAGGGGCAGAGGAGGCCCUGCUCAAACUCCGUGCCUGGGUGCAGCUUGCCCUGGUGGCCUUUCCCCAAGGGAUUUUCACCCUGGUGGCAGCAGGGCUGUUCCUCCUCCUCUGGGACCCUGUUACCGUCACCGUGAGGGACAGUCGGGAUCCGCCCCGGGCGACGGGACCCCCCAUCGUGUCUCCCAGCUCGCAGGCUGAACUGCUCUAUGUGAUCCCCCAGCUCUACCGCCAGAUGCAGGAAUCCCUGAGGAGCCGCCUAGAUGAAGCCAAGGCAGGCAGUGGGCCCACGGUGGCGGCGUAUGGUCUGGGCAGUGUCUACUCAGCUGCCCUGCUCAUCUCCAUGGCCUUGCUAGGCUUCCUGCUCAUGACACUACACAGCGAGCGGCUGAGCCUGGUCUUCCUGCUCCUCUUUAUGGAGGCCUUUGCGCUGCUCUGGAUGCAUGCCUGUGCUGUGGCCCUCUCUUCUUCCUCUUCCUCCUCGCAGGCUGAUCCCUUCACUGUGCCCUGGUAUGCCCUUGUGGCUUGGGCUCUUGCUGCUGCUCAGUUCUUCUAUGCCACAGGCCACCAGCCUGUCUUCCCAGCCAUCCACUGGAAUUCAGCCUUUGUGGGCUUUCACCAGGGGCACAACACCACCUUGUUACCCGCCCUCCUGGUUGGGGCCAAUACCUUUGCCUCACACAUCCUCUUUGCAGCUGGGUGUCCUUUGCUUCUGCUCUGGCCAUUCCUUUGUGAAAUGUCCAGCUCCAAGGGCCGGAAGCAAAAGGCGGAGGUUCCUGCCAGAGAGGAGCAGAUGAUGGAGAUGAGGCUCAGGGAAGCUCCGGAGAGGUUUUCUGCAGCGCUGUUGCAGCUGGGGCUCAAGUACCUGCUUGUUCUGGGAGUCCAGCUCCUGGCCUGUGUCUUGGCCGCCAUUAUCCUCAGAAGACAUCUUAUGGUGUGGAAAGUAUUUGCCCCAAAGUUCCUCUUUGAAGCAGUGGGUUUUAUGGUGAGCAGCAUCUUUCUCCUGCUGGGCAUCGGCCUGGUGAUGCGGGUGGACUGUGCAGUCAGCACUUGGUUCAAGCAGGUCAUCCUUGUUCAGUCCAGGUAGCACCAGAGCAGGAGGCACACCUAACAAAGAAUGUUACCAGGGCUGCCAAAAGCAUUGGGGAUUACAGGACUGCUGGCAACGGCCCCUCAUUGCUUGGGCCAAAAAAGAUUGUAUUUUCCUCUCUCUAGGACUACUGGCUAGCCUGGAGCAGGUGUUUGUGCCUCCAUGCGAGUAGAAGUGACUAGGGGAACAAGGGAAGGGAUGAGCCUGCAGUCAGGCAGGGUCUGGUGCUUUGUAAGGGGUUAUGCUCUCCAGACCUCACAUGCCCCUGAAUCACUGUAAAAUGGCCCUCUGGGUUUGUUUGCCAGUCAUGGAAAGAAAUACAGUGGUUAACCUUUUAUUCUCAGGAGAAUCCUAGGCAAAGGGGGUGGCAAUAUGGUGUUGCUGGGAAUCUGGUCAUUGGCUGCAGGUACAUCUUGUUGGAUGAAUGUUGUAACCAUUCCUUUCUCCUUAGUGAGACUGGAGGUUUUAACAGCUCUGUGAGUGUGUGUGUAUUGAAUGUGUCUGGAAGGAAAAGCCAUGGCCAGAACCAAGGUUGGGAACAGCAGACCAGAUGUUGGCUCAGUCACACACACUGAGCUGAUGGCUUGGUGGAGUUUCCAGACACUCGGAAGAAGACAAUGACUGGCUUGCUCUUAGUGGACCGAGUCUCCCCUGCAGUCUUUAACAGUCAGCUGUGGGCGCCUUUGGAAGAGCCUGGCAGUACAUGACACUGAACUCUGUUCAUCAGAGGGGACCUGUAACUGUGAAUGCUGAACAGAUGGAAGUGUGAAUCAGCCAAGUGUUUAGAUAAUUGGAUGUUGCAAGCUUUGGCAGCAGUGAGUGAAGCCACGACUUUCUGGUUUCUGUCUUGCAGAAGAAACAAUUUCCCCUUUCGGUAUCUUCAUCUGAUCUUUCUUUUUGUUUUCUUGGUUGUUAACAGGGUACAUGGUCCACAAAAGUGAGCAUAAAGCUGCUAUUCUUCCUGUUUUGGAACCAGAGAUGAUGUACCCAUUUUUGUAGCCAAAUUACAAAUAUAUUUUAUUCAGUGGAUGAACAAAAAAAAAUGCCAUGUCCUUUACAAAGCCUUUUGGGUUUUUGUUUUUGUUUUCCUGAUAGAAAUAGAAAAACAACCAAGAUUUGAAAAAAACAGUGGGGAAGGCAAGGACAGAAAAUCACUUAUCAUUAUCCAAUAUUGUUCAUCUGGGAAGUCUAAAAUCAAUAUAUAUUUUUUUUGUUCUAAAACUAAAACUUUUUUUUGCAUGAAGCCACAGCACAUCCCUAAAACAAUAUUUAUAUAGAUACAUGAACAUCAUUUCAAAAUGCAAAGUUUAUAACUUAUUUAAGCCACAAAACAAGCAAGGUCUCUAACAGUAAAAACAAGGCUCCAGUUUGUUUUUUAUUUGGAAAGAUAAGGAAUUAUUUUAUCUUUGUACACAGUAAAAGAUUAAAAUGUAUAUCAGUUAACAGGCAUAUCCUCAAGGAAUAAAUACACUCUGAAAAAAGAGAGCCUUAAAGUUUCACCAACAUAUAAAACACAUUUCUUCCAAAUAUCCCUGCCAUACAUUUUUAAUAAAUAUUGUUUACACUGGUUUCAUGUAAACAAAAAUUAUUUGUCUGUUGAUAUUAGACUUUCUUAAUAUGUGUCCACUGUCAUCUUAAACAGAUUAGAUAAUAAAUACAUUAUGUUGUCUUCUCUCUCCUUUCCCCCAGUUUUUGCUGUUCUUUUGGGGAUGGAAAUUCCAAGCGGUUUAUUCCUUUCAGUUUCCUGGAUAAUUUUUUUUAAUGUUAUGUUUGGGGUGCUGUAGGCAUAUGUAUCUAUCUCCCUGGAAGAUCUGAACCUCCCAUCUUUUAACUCCAUUUGUUUGGUCUUCUUCCAUUUGUUUCUUCCUCUCCUCAAUGCAAUCAAGACAUAGGUGCUGCUUCUUUCUGUCUUGACAGUCUGUCUGCUUUUGCUGUAAAGAACCGGUGCCUUAAAAAUCUUGGCUGACUGUAGCUUUCCUGGGAUCUGGUCUUGAGAAUUGUUUUAGAGCUCAACUCUGAGACGUUUGCCUUCUCCAAAUGUCUGCAUGAUGCAAAGGUUCUUCCCUGGGAUCCUGCAUAGCAUGUUUUGGCACAUGAAGGGCACAUGCUCCCUUCCUUGGCUAUAUCACAACAAAUAAGACUGUCCUAAGCAAUCACUUGUAGGCUAACUGUGUUCCUAAAUCUUCCUAAGUAGCCCCACUUCAGUCUAUGCAACCUGGGUGGUGUUUGUAAACUAGAACCCUUCACUCCAUGGAACAUGAAUGUUUUUCUCAGCCAUCACCUUGCUUCCCUUUGUCUCUCCUCUGAGGUAUCCUGGUGAGCAAACCCCUGGUUGCUUAGUUUAGAAUUAGGCAAGCAUUAAGUCUUUGUUUUUGAAAGAAAGAAAAAGUAUCACAGUGCCCUUUUGAGAGUAAGUGCUGGAAUGCUACUUUAAGAGUCUGAGAUGGUCUUGGCAGUCUAGAACUUUAUUUGCUUUGGAGUACAAUUCUGGUCUGCAAGCUGAAGAAACCAAUUUAUUCACACUCAACCCCUAAAGGGAUAUUUGCUUAUAUUAUGCAAGUGCAGUAUAUAAAAUCAAAAGUGCUUUUAAAAGCAUUUCUAAUCUGAGGAACCAUUGUCCCUAGUGAGGCAGAAUAAAAGUAUUUUGGGUAUCUGCCAUAUAAAUAACUCUCCUGCGGAGGACCUGGUCUCACCUGAAGCACUUGUUUUGCCAAGAGCUGUGGUACCUCCCCCUUCUUCAUAAAACCCACUAAUAAUCCCACGUUAAGGAUGCAACUGUGUUUUUAUUGUGACGUCAAAGGCUUUCAAGGCUGGCAUCCAUAGUUUUUUUGUGAGUUUUUUGGGCUAUGUGGCUGUGUUCUAGAAGAGUUUGCUUCUGAUGUUUUGUCAGCAUCUAUGGCUGGCAACUUUCUCUGAAGAUGCCAGCCACAGAUGCUGGCAAAACGUCAGGAACGAACUCUUCUAGAACAUAGCUACAUAGCCCAAAAAACGAUGUGUUUUUAUCCCCUUUUCUUUUAAUGGUCUGCAGUGCCGGUCUUGCCUAGCAGCGUGUCAGGAGCUCUCCUAGCUCAGACUAGGGGCAUCUUAGGGAUGCAAUUGACUUGUUGCACAUCCUGCAUACUGAUGCUUUACUAUGGAUUUCUAGCAAGUGAAGUCCAAAUUUUAGGGCUCAGGUUUUGUAUGGGAAGAGUAACAGAAGGCUGAGAGCCACCUGCCCUCACUGUCUUUUACCUCUGAGAGAGAGAAGGCAGCCUGUGGUCUCUCUCCACCAGAAUCCUUUAUUGCCGUGGGCAAGUUUUCUUCACCAUCUGUGCCUCCAUCCCCUUGUUUGCAAAGCUGGUUAUGUCCUGUCCCUCUUGGGGUACAUUUUGUGGGAGGGCCACCUGAAAAUGACACAGUUUUUGUGGAAGUGGCAGCUUUAUUUAUUGUUCCUCUUUACACAAAGUCAAAAAUGUGGGUGAACCAUGAGCCAACAGUUCCAAAUCUUUGCCGCUGAACUGUCAUCCCUAUUAAUUCAUGUCAAGGAGAGGGAAAGGUACAUGCUGAAAAGCAGAAAGCAGACUUCAGGGCAGAAGGGAACUGUGCGCCAGAGCUGUCUGUAAAGCCAACUGUUGUAAAUAAACUGUCUGAUCAUAAAGAAUGAAGAAUUGUUUUUGU